GACGAACGCUGGCGGCGUGCCUAAUACAUGCAAGUCGAGCGAAGUUUUUCUGGUGCUUGCACCGGAAAAACUUAGCGGCGAACGGGUGAGUAACACGUAAAGAACCUGCCUCAUAGACUGGGACAACUAUUGGAAACGAUAGCUAAUACCGGAUAACAGCAUUAACUGCAUGGUUGAUGUUUAAAAGUUGGUUUUGCUAACACUAUGAGAUGGCUUUGCGGUGCAUUAGCUAGUUGGUGGGGUAAAGGCCUACCAAGGCGACGAUGCAUAGCCGACCUGAGAGGGUGAUCGGCCACACUGGGACUGAGACACGGCCCAGACUCCUACGGGAGGCAGCAGUAGGGAAUCUUCCGCAAUGGGCGAAAGCCUGACGGAGCAACGCCGCGUGAGUGAAGAAGGAUUUCGGUUCGUAAAGCUCUGUUGUUAGGGAAGAAUGAUUGUGUAGUAACUAUACACAGUAGAGACGG
rnacentral:rRNA from 1 species